GACGAACGCUGGCGGCGUGCUUAACACAUGCAAGUCGAGCGGUAAGGCCCUUUCGGGGGUACGACGAGCGGCGAACGGGUGAGUAACACGUGGGUGACCUGCCCUCAGCUCUGGGAUAAGCCUGGGAAACUAGGGUCUAAUACUGGAUAUGACUCCACGGUGCAUGUCGUGGGGUGGAAAGCCUUGUGCGGCUGAGGAUGGGCCCGCGGCCUAUCAGCUUGUUGGUGGGGUGAUGGCCUACCAAGGCGACGACGGGUAGCCGGCCUGAGAGGGCGACCGGCCACACUGGGACUGAGACACGGCCCAGACUCCUACGGGAGGCAGCAGUGGGGAAUCUUGCGCAAUGGGCGAAAGCCUGACGCAGCGACGCCGCGUGAGGGAUGAC
rnacentral:rRNA from 1 species